GGGGAAGAGCCCAACACCGAAUCCCUCAGCGUAAAGCUGGCGGGAAAUGUGGUGUUAAGGUUGCCCUUCGUGCCGAACUGAAUGUCUCAAGUCCACCUGAUUGUGGCUCAAGCCCAGAGAGGGUGUAAGGCCCGUAGAGGCGUUCGGAUCGGUGCCCGGAGUUAACCUACGAGUCGGCUUGUUUGGGACUGCAGGCCAAAGUGGGUGGUAAGCUCCAUCCAAGGCUAAAUACUUGCACGAGUCCGAUAGCGGACAAGUACCGUGAGGGAAAAUUGAAAAGAACUUUGAAGAGAGAGUUCAAUAGUACGUGAAACCGCUUAGAGGCAAACGGAUGGUGCUCAAAUUGGCUCGGGGAAUUCAGCCGCGUUGAGUUGGUGGGUGGAUUGGUGUCCAGAUUUUAAUUAAAUAAGAACUGGUGCUAGUCUUCCAACCGCCUUCGACACGGUGCACUUUCCCCGGUUUUGCCUUCGCCACGACCGACGAUACUGGCCACCCGCGGCUGGGGUAAGGUGCCAGGCUACCCCGGUAGUCUGUUCUUAUAGACCUCGGCGUCGGACUUUGUUUGGGCAGGACGUCGGAGCUAGCGGUGCCCGCCCCUUGUGGGCUCGUAUGCCGGUUAGUUUGGUUGCGCCGACGCUAGCACUGGUAACCAGUGUUGGUGACGGUUGUGGCCUUGCCAAUUGGUCUCUGCGAGUUUGGCACCUAUAGUCUGUGGUGUUCCAGUGGGUAGACCAUCCGACCCGUCUUGAAACACGGACCAAGGAGUCUAACAUGUGCGCGAGUCAUGGGGACUUUACGAAGCCCAAAGGCGUAGUGAAAGUAAAGGCCUGCUUCAGUAGGCUUAGGUGGGAUCUCGUGCAUUGCGAUUGGCGAGCGCACCACCGGCCCGUCCCAUCUGUCUCUGUCAGUGGGGCGGCGCAAGAGCGUACACGUUGGGACCCGAAAGAUGGUGAACUAUGCUUGCGCAGCUCGAAGUCAGUGGAAACACUGAUGGAGGAGCGCAGCGUUUCUGACGUGCAAAUCGAUCGUCAAACGUGAGUAUAGGGGCGAAAGACUAAU
rnacentral:rRNA from 1 species